UGAGUGGACUGUAGGUUUUGUGGUUCUUGUGAAAUAUAAACACUUUAUCACUAUUACUGGGUGUUUAUUGGUAUUUAUAGAAAGUACAAAGGUUUUUACAGGCACA